rnacentral:sRNA from 1 species
CGGCACCGUAGGUGAGGCCGGCGGCGUGGGCCUUUUCUCUGCACGGAGCCGGCGCUUUUGCAGUUGCUUCUGCGGAAAGGUGGUAGUUAAGAAUUUGUAAAGGCCAGGGAACUAGCUACGAUUCUCUCAGCGGUCUCUCUUCUCCUGAAGUUUGAAAUGCUUUAUCUCAUCGGCUUGGGCCUGGGAGAUGCCAAGGACAUCACAGUCAAGGGCCUGGAAGUUGUUAGACGCUGCAGUCGAGUGUAUCUGGAAGCCUACACCUCAGUCCUGACUGUAGGGAAGGAAGCCUUGGAAGAGUUUUAUGGAAGAAAAUUGGUUGUUGCUGAUAGAGAAGAAGUGGAACAAGAAGCAGAUAAUAUUUUAAAGGAUGCUGAUAUCAGUGAUGUUGCAUUCCUUGUGGUUGGUGAUCCAUUUGGACACUUGGAGACCAGAAAGCUUCUUUGACAAAGUGAAGAAGAACAGACAAAAUGGCAUGCACACAUUAUGUUUACUAGACAUCAAAGUAAAGGAGCAGUCUUUGGAAAAUCUAAUCAAGGGAAGGAAGAUCUAUGAACCUCCACGGUAUAUGAGUGUAAACCAAGCAGCCCAGCAGCUUCUGGAGAUUGUUCAAAAUCAAAGAAUACGAGGAGAAGAACCAGCAGUUACCGAGGAGACACUUUGUGUUGGCUUAGCCAGAGUUGGAGCCGACGACCAGAAAAUUGCAGCAGGCACUUUACGGCAAAUGUGUACUGUGGACUUGGGAGAACCAUUGCAUUCCUUGAUCAUCACAGGAGGCAGCAUACAUCCAAUGGAGAUGGAGAUGCUAAGUCUGUUUUCCAUACCAGAAAAUAGCUCAGAAUCUCAAAGCAUCAAUGGACUUUGAACAUAGAUAUUUACUAUUGUCUGAUGUAAAUUUCAGCCAUAUAUGGAUUGAUAUGGUUUGGCUGUAUCCCCACCCAAGUCUCAUCUUGAAUUUUAAUCCUCAUAAUUCCCAGGUGUUGUGGUAGGUAAUUGAAUCAUGGGGGCAGUUUGCCUCAUGCUAUUCUCAUGAUAGUGAGCUUUCAUGAG